CCUACGGGAGGCAGCAGUGAGGAAUAUUGGUCAAUGGACGAGAGUCUGAACCAGCCAAGUAGCGUGAAGGAUGACUGCCCUAUGGGUUGUAAACUUCUUUUAUAUGGGAAUAAAACGUUCCACGUGUGGGAUUUUGUAUGUACCAUAUGAAUAAGGAUCGGCUAACUCCGUGCCAGCAGCCGCGGUAAUACGGAGGAUCCGAGCGUUAUCCAGAUUUAUUGGGUUUAAAGGGAGCGUAGGUGGAUUGUUAAGUCAGUUGUGAAAGUUUGCGGCUCAACCGUAAAAUUGCAGUUGAAACUGGCAGUCUUGAGUACAGUAGAGGUGGGCGGAAUUCGUGGUGUAGCGGUGAAAUGCUUAGAUAUCACGAAGAACUCCGAUUGCGAAGGCAGUUCACUGGACUGCAACUGACACUGAGGCUCGAAAGUGUGGGUAUCAAACAGGAUUAGAUACCCGUGUAGUC
rnacentral:rRNA from 1 species